GCGUGAUGGCAUAAAAGUAGCGUAAGUGAUUUGUUUUUUUAUUGUUUUCAAGUAUGAAUGAAGUUCUUAGUAAUUUUUUUGCUUUUAUUUUAUUUGAAUUAUUUUUUUAAUUAAAAAUUAUUGAUUAAGGUAUUACAAAGAUAAGUCUUCGGAAAUUUUUUUUUGAUUUUGUAAUUUUUUUACUGUUGAAUUUUUCUUGGGGCUGGAUUUUAAAAAAUUUUUAAACUAUUGUUAUAUUUAGAAAUUACUCCGGAGUUAACAGGGUUGA
rnacentral:rRNA from 1 species